rnacentral:lncRNA from 1 species
GUAAGCAAACUAUUGAGAUUAUUCGUUUGGAAAUGAAAUGCAGAGGUGGAACAGAUACAAUUGUGACUUAAGCACACCUCUCUAGUAAGUUGGGAAGCAUGAAUAUGAAAAUGUUUCUGCAGUUGUUUGAUGGGUUUUGAAAAGCAACGAGGGUCCAAUAAAAUAAUGUGUGGCCUGUGGGAAGAUGACCUAUAUCAACAAUCUUCCAAAUCAGACUGGGUAGCCUAGCAAACCCCAAACUGAAAAAAAACCAUUCUAGGCUCCUACAAGCAUCCAAGGAGGAGUUCAGUUCAGACGGGGUCAUUGGGCCCCACCUUUUCCUGAUUCUCCUCUCCAUUCUCCUGCUCCUGUUCUGGGCCAUCCAUUUGUGUAAGGACGAUGAUGAUGUCUUCGGCGACAUUGACCAAGCGCUGGUCAAUAACUUCACAGAGGGAGUUCAUCUCUACUACAGCUACCUCCAACGACUGGAGGAACUAACGUUACAUAUGGAGGACCUCACCUCUGAGGUGGACCUGGAAUCCUGCGCUGACCCCCAAUCGUGCUUUGACUCAUGCUCAUCCAGAUCAUCUUCUAGAUCACAUUCUAGACCACAUUCUAGAUCCUCCAGAUUUAGUGACUGCAGCACAUGCCGAACCUGCAAUAAACGGCGGAAACGGCAUCCACCUGACAGGUUUAAAUUCCUGAAAGGCGGUGGUCCAGAUAGUCACUGUUCUUCAGGUAGUUCUAUCCCACUGGCUAAGCCCUGCCUCAAGCUACCAGGAGGUGGUGAUGUUAAGGACAGUCACCAUGGCUCCACACACACCUCCUGUAGCUCCUCCUGCAACUCCUCUAGGUACGUGACUCCUUCUGACUCCCCUCAACCUCUGGAAUACCAGCCCUGCCCUCGUCAGCUUACUGCUAUUGGUUGGAGGCUAAACUGGACUCUGAUGGAGGCCAAACUGGACUCUCCUGUCGCUGUGCCUGUUGCUGCUGCUUCUACUGUCACUGGCUGUAAAGACAGAGCUGCCAGCCGCACAGACCGCUCCAGGACUCCGACUGCGAGACAUAUUCCAAUGGUAAGACAGCUGUUUGAGGUCGUGCCGAGGAAAGGAGACCCAGCCGUCCUGUGCCGCUGGUACCGCAGACACUUGGAACUCAACGUGACACAGAAGGUGGCCCGUAAGCGCUGGAGGAUUGCCGUGCUGAUGAUCUCCAUCAUUAGGUGGCUGCUCCCCGAGAGACUGAAGGGAGGAGGCACCACCAGCUCAACCUCCACCUCUGCAUCCACCACCACUACCACCACCACCACUACCACCCAGUUCAACACCUCAACCACCUCUCAGGCUAAGAAAGGAUCAAAGAUCACCAGGAAAACUGCCAGUGUUCCAGCUUUCUGCCCUCAGGGUGCCAAACCUCCAUCUCCCUCCAGGGCUCCAUGCCAGUCUCCAGGGUUAGAGGGUAAACCCAAGUCCAUCAUGAUGUACACUCAGGGCGCCAGGAUCCCCUUCAUUUGCCAGGAGGUCCGAGAGAAGCUUGAGUCUCAUGUUUGCCGCAAGCAGAGCCAGCGCCUCUGGGGCUUCCCCAAGCUGGUCACCAGGUACGUGGGCGACCUUGCGCUCCAGCAGCUCCCUACCUCCGGCAGCGCAGGCGACGGGAAGGUCAUGGGCAAUGUGACCGACCGUCAGGCGGUGUUCUCUGGACGAGCGCACCGCAACACAGAGUUCAGGUUGAAGAACAAGACUACAAGGCCAGCAGAGGAGCCGCAGGCUACUGCAGCCGUAGCGAAGGACAGCUCACCAGCCACCAGACCUGUAGAGAAGACUACCACCAGCACUGUGCUCCAGCCAGCCGAGAGCCACGCUACCAAACCUUCCCAGACCGGACACUCUCUGAACCAGACAUCCCCUGUGAGGAGCUUGACCCCGGAGAGAUGCUGGCUGGAGGAGAAGGUGAGGAGUAAGUAUAUGGAGGUGAAGCUCAAACACUUUCCCGGCAUGGUGGCCCAGUCAUACCACUCCGCCCUUGCUUCGGCAACCAGCCAUCCAACUAGGAAACCCACCCAGGUGGCAGAAGCCCCUGCUGUUGUUCUGAAACGCCCCGCCCCACUCAGACAGCGGGAUAAGGUGUUGUUCAUGGACCAGGAGGAGCUCAGGCACCUGGAGGACAACCUGAUCAUGAAACAUAUGGAGCACCUUCAGAGGCAGGGAGUGACCACCGACUCGGCCCCCUCGGCCCACACCCAGGGAGUGACCACCGCCUCGGCCCACACCCAGGGAGUGACGACCGCCUCGGCCCCCUCGGCCCACACCCAGCGAGUGACGACCGCCUCGGCCCCCUCGGCCCACACCCAGCGAGUGACGACCGCCUCGGUCCCCUCGGCCCACACCCAGGGAGUGACCACCGCCUCGGCCCACACCCAGCGAGUGACGACCGCCUCGGUCCCCUCGGCCCACACCCAGGGAGUGACCACCGCCUCGGCCCCCUCGGCCCACACCCAGGGAGUGACCACCGCCUCGGCCCACACCCAGCGAGUGACGACUGCUUCGGCCCCCUCUGCCCACACCCAGCGAGUGACGACUGCCUCGGCCCACGCGCAAAUCUCACACAGCCUGGCUCUAGAGACCUCGACUCACACAGCCACUGUCUCACAUCCCCAUCCUGCCCUCAUUAAACAGCUGGUUCUGAUGAAUGGUUUGGAAGGAGGCUUCGGGGAGCUCAAGACCCUACUGGCCCCACAGCAGCACGAGGUGAAACCUAGCUCAGCCACAGCCAAGGUGGUAUCCGGACCAGCUGAUUCUGCAGUAUCAUCCAACACUGAGACCCAAAGGUCCAGCGGGCUCCCUCUGCCUCCUUUGAUUAGGCCUCCCUCUCGUUUUAAUUCUGCACAUUCUACCUAAAGAUGUAUUCAGAAGUGAAUAGUAUGUAUUCUUUCUACCAAAUACAUUGUUUUGCAUUUCAC